UACAGAGGGUGCAAGCGUUGUUCGGAAUUAUUGGGCGUAAAGAGCUCGUAGGCGGCCUGUUGCGUCCGCUGUGAAAUCCCGGGGCUCAACCCCGGGCCUGCAGUGGAUACGGGCUGGCUAGAGGCAGGCAGGGGGAGAACGGAAUUCCUGGUGUAGCGGUGAAAUGCGCAGAUAUCAGGAGGAACACCGGUGGCGAAGGCGGUUCUCUGGGCCUGUACUGACGCUGAGGAGCGAAAGCGUGGGGAGCAAACAGG
rnacentral:rRNA from 1 species